rnacentral:rRNA from 1 species
CGCGGCCUAUCAGCUUGUUGGUGAGGUAAUGGCUCACCAAGGCAUCGACGGGUAGCUGGUCUGAGAGGACGAUCAGCCACACUGGGACUGAGACACGGCCCAGACUCCUACGGGAGGCAGCAGUGGGGAAUAUUGCGCAAUGGGCGAAAGCCUGACGCAGCAACGCCGCGUGUGGGAUGACAGCUUUCGGGUUGUAAACCACUUUCAGUGACGACGAAAAUGACGGUAGUCACAGAAGAAGGUCCGGCCAACUACGUGCCAGCAGCCGCGGUAACACGUAGGGACCAAGCGUUGUCCGGAUUUAUUGGGCGUAAAGAGCUCGUAGGCGGUUCCGUAAGUCGGAUGUGAAAGCUCAGGGCUCAACCCUGAGACGCCAUCUGAUACUGCGGUGACUAGAGUCCGGUAGGGGAGCAUGGAAUUCCUGGUGUAGCGGUGGAAUGCGCAGAUAUCAGGAGGAACACCAAUGGCGAAGGCAGUGCUCUGGGCCGGAACUGACGCUGAGGAGCGAAAGCAUGGGGAGCAAACAGGGUUAGAUACCCUGGUAGUCCAUGCCGUAAACGUUGGGCACUAGGUGUGGGAUCUUCUAACGGAUUCCGUGCCGUAGCUAACGCAUUAAGUGCCCCGCCUGGGGAGUACGG